UAGCUAAUCCCUACUUAUUACUCCUAUCGACGUCUUCGAUAUCUCUAAAAUAGUCUGAAUAAUGUUUUAGCCAAAUCGAAAAUGAAAAAUUCAAAGAAAUAAUAAAAAAAAUCUAUUAUAAUUACUUAUUUCCUUCGAAAUUUAUAGCUUUCGGUGUAUACUAAUAAUAUUGGGUAUUUUCAUUGAUUCCAUAUUCUGGGCACUUUAGACAAGUUGUUAUAUCCUUGAGGUAAAAAAGGUUUUCAAAGGUCCAAAUUUAUACUUAUUAAUUAAGUUAACAAGCUACGAAACGAACUUUAUUUGACGAGUUCAAUGAAACUGAAAACCGAAAAAAAAUAAGCAAUAUUUUACCGACACCUUUCCCGAACCCACAUCUCUAUAUAUAGUUGUUUUAGAAAACGUGGGAAAUUUAAUUGUAUAUACUUUGGCAGAAGAGUUAAACUAUUAAGUAUAGCUACUGUUUAAAGUGAUGUCUUAGAAAUUAUAAAGUAAGGUCAUGUCAAUUUCAAUAUAAAUUUUCGUGUAUGGAAAGAAAGAACAUUGAGACGGGCAGGUUAAAAAUAUAAUUCAUGAUUCAAUUGAUGAAUUUCUUACCUACGUGCCGGUUGAAAUGACGAUGUCAAAAAGAUAUUAGAGUUCUCACAAUACCUAUUGAUUCGAUCACGCAAUUCUAUUUUAACAAUGAAUGUUUAUUUGUUAAAUAAUGAUCUUUAUUCAUUACUGCACUGAUUGUCGCGGAGUGAUUAUCGUCUAGGUAUAGUUUAUAGCAAAAUCAUUAAGAAUAUAUUCAAAAUUUCACAUGUGAUACAUAGCUUCCAUUCUGAACCUUGAGUAAGCAACAUGUCGGCGGGACUUGUACUUAUUGUGGCAGCUAUCGCCUUUUCUGUAUUUUGGACGAUAAAAUUUGUAACUGAAAUUUAUCACGCUACUACACAAAGCUGUAAUAAUUCCUCAGUUAACCAGUCAAUGAAUUUGACACCGACUGGGUUUCACACGGACUUUAUACAGUACACAGAAUAAACACCUGUCUCUGGUUUCUAUUGACUGGAACAAUGAUAUUCUUCUUGUAUUGGUACACAGAGCAAUUAAGAAGAAAGUAUAAUUUAUUUAAGAUUGACGAUUUUGAAAAUGUACCAAACGAUCUCGUAGGAUGGGCCGAUAUUAAUUCGACCGCCGAUGUUGGAGCGACCUUGAAUGUUUAAGUCGUAGUUUAUGAAGCACUAAUAGUACCUUGAUUGUUUCUAUUGAUAGAAAAUGUCUUAAAAGCUCAUAAUAAACAAAGAUCCAUGUUCUUAUAUUUUUAUUAUUAUUAUUUCUAAUCUUGUAAUUAUAUGAAAUUGAAUUUGGUUUAGUAUUUACAUUUUGUUAUGUGAGUUAGUUUUAUUUCAUGGUUAUGAUAAAAAACUAAAUAAUAAAGGCUGGUACCCUUGAUACAUUUAUUUCUAUUACACCAAUGUCUAGUGUUGUUCGUUGUGAAGAAAGUGUGCAUUUUUUUUCAUAAUCUAUUACGUUUAUAAAAUAAGUAUAUCAAUGAAAUGACAUUCAUAAUUUAUAAAGCAAGUGUAAUAUUUUAU